GUGGUAAUGCCGGAUGCUCCGGUUGGAUGCAUGUCCUUCCGGGAAAGGUUCCAUCGGUAUGGGAUGGGGUCGCGUCCUAUCAGCUUGAUGGCGGGGUAACGGCCCACCAUGGCUUCGACGGGUAGCCGGCCUGAGAGGGCGACCGGCCACAUUGGGACUGAGAUACGGCCCAGACUCCUACGGGAGGCAGCAGUGGGGAAUAUUGCACAAUGGGCGCAAGCCUGAUGCAGCGACGCCGCGUGCGGGAUGGAGGCCUUCGGGUUGUAAACCGCUUUUGAUCGGGAGCAAGCCCUUCGGGGUGAGUGUACCUUUCGAAUAAGCACCGGCUAACUACGUGCCAGCAGCCGCGGUAAUACGUAGGGUGCAAGCGUUAUCCGGAAUUAUUGGGCGUAAAGGGCUCGUAGGCGGUUCGUCGCGUCCGGUGUGAAAGCCCAUCGCUUAACGGUGGGUCUGCGCCGGGUACGGGCGGGCUGGAGUGCGGUAGGGGAGACUGGAAUUCCCGGUGUAACGGUGGAAUGUGUAGAUAUCGGG
rnacentral:rRNA from 1 species